CGGACAGCGGACGACGAGGGACGAACAUGCAGCGACCCAGACGGACGGCUGCGACGGAACGGAGGAACACAAGCUGGCCAUCUUACCUUCAGGCUGUGCCCCCGUGCCACAGGAGGUUUCUGUGCUCAGCUGGCAGCAGGAGGUCUU